AUUGAACGCUAGCGGCAGGCUUAACACAUGCAAGUCGAGCGAGCGGCGGACGGGUGAGUAAUGUCUGGGAAACUGCCUGAUGGCGGGGGAUAACUACUGGAAACUGUGGCUAAUACCGCAUACCAUCAGCUGUGCCCAUAUGGGAUUAGCUAGUAUGUGGGGUAAUGGCUCACCUAGGCAACGAUCCGUAGCUGGUCUGAGAGGAUGACCAGCCACACUGGGACUGAGACACGGUCCAGACUCCUACGGGAGGCAGCAGUGGGGAAUAUUGCAAAAUGGGCGCAACCCUGAUCCAGCAAUCCCGCGUGUGUGAAGAAGGCCUUCGGGUUGUAAAGCACUUUCAGCGGGGAGGCGGUACCUGCAGAAGAAGCACCGGCUAACUCCGUGCCAGCAGCCGCGGUAAUUC
rnacentral:rRNA from 1 species